rnacentral:rRNA from 1 species
UACUAACUCUGGCGGCGUGCUUAACACAUGCAAGUCGAACGGAAAGGCCCUGCUUUUGUGGGGUGCUCGAGUGGCGAACGGGUGAGUAACACGUGAGUAACCUGCCCUUGACUUUGGGAUAACUUCAGGAAACUGGGGCUAAUACCGGAUAGGAGCUCCUGCUGCAUGGUGGGGGUUGGAAAGUUUCGGCGGUUGGGGAUGGACUCGCGGCUUAUCAGCUUGUUGGUGGGGUAGUGGCUUACCAAGGCUUUGACGGGUAGCCGGCCUGAGGGGGUGACCGGCCACAUUGGGACUGAGAUACGGCCCAGACUCCUACGGGAGGCAGCAGUGGGGAAUAUUGCACAAUGGGCGGAAGCCUGAUGCAGCAACGCCGCGUGCGGGAUGACGGCCUUCGGGUUGUAAACCGCUUUCGCCUGUGACGAAGCGUGAGUGACGGUAAUGGGUAAAGAAGCACAGGAUAAAUACGUG